AGCAGUGUGGUGUAGUGUGCACACGGGGUCUCCUUGAGUCGGAAUAGAAUAUUGCCCCCGAGGUCCUUGUUCGAAUCAAGGCGCUGCUG